UUUUUGUGUCGGGGUUACAAUUCACGUAUACGGCACUAUUCACGAAUACGACACUAUUUACCGAAAAAUGAAAUUUUCUCCUGUUUGUCCAAGAUGUCUAUUAUGGUUACUAUCUUUGAUUGUAUCCAUGUUUUGAUCUUUAUUUUUGAAAUCUGCUUCACAAUUGGUUAUUAUGGAGUAUUAUUGAACUUGGAUAAACUGUAAUACGAAUCCCUAAUAUUUGUUUCUUUUAUCUCACUAGAUUCAUUUUCUUUAAGAUAUUUUUCAUCGUCCUUAGUCCUAAAUGAUGAUAUUAUUGAAUAUCUCUGGCCUGCAGUGCAAAGAUGAAUAAU
rnacentral:lncRNA from 1 species